UCUAAACGUUUUACCGUCUGUUGAGUUUCCCUUAGGUUCCUUUUGACUAAUUUAAUUUUUUAAUUCUUUUGAACGUUUCACUUAAUUAUUAAUUCAUGUAUGUAUUAAUCUUUCGUGCAAGUCUAAACCCAUCCUAAUAUCGCCUUAGCCUCGUGGUCUUCGCGCCGUUGUCCCUAAUCUUUGGCUUUUAAUAUCUCAAAAAGUGAUUAGCAGGAAGAGACUAUUAAUGCUACGCUUUAUUUGAUGAAAUGAUUCCACUACAGAUCUAUUGAAUUGAAGACUUUAAAUGCAUAACUGAAAAGCCUUCAAUUUCAUUAAUUAAUUACUAUCUCGUUCUCUUGAACUUCCAAAGUGUUUGCAUUAAGCAUUUCGCACUUCAUGUUUUGGAAGAUGAAGGAAACCACUUUUUUGUGUGCAUUGGCUACCAAAUCGUCGUUGCAUUUGGCUAACCAUAUUCUUUGAAACUACAAUAUUUAUUUAUUGUAAAUUAUUAAUUUAAUUUGCUCCAUAUGUUUUUGCGUUUCAUUGCAUUCCGCUCAUCUCAAUUUAUUUCUUCGCUUCCUCUUCUUCCCGGAGACGGGUGAAAUCACUAAAAAGUUUAUUCUCCUUCUUCUCCUCCUGUCGGAUUGGAAGUCACGACGGGAGCUCGGGCUCAUCUUCACAUCUCUUCACAUCCUCUAUUAGGCGUAUUCGUUCCCCUGCUUCGUGUGAAGAAGAAUUUUGGGAGAGUAGAGGAAACUUCUUCCAUGCUGUUCCUAUUUGAUCGGAAGUCACGAUUUUUCACAUCCCCAUGAUUUCAAGACCUCUUCGUUCACCUGCUUCGCAUGAAGAAGAGCUUUGGGCCCUUGGCUACCAAAUCGCCGUUGCUUCUCUCCAACUUCUAUCAUCCUAAGGUUGGAAGAAACACAUCCAUUUUAGAACUUCCAAGCGUCUAGCCUGAGCUUACGAUGUUAGGAUGAAAGAAGUCGAAAUCGAAGAAGACUGUCGCUAGAUCUCCUCCCUAAAGUUAAAGAAUUAAUAAAAGAGGUAAAUUUUUUUCAUCAUGCAAGUUUUACACUUGAUUAAUAUCUUUGAUUAUUGGCAAAUCCAUAGCAUUAUGGGAGAUGCGAAAAAGAAGAAGCCAGUACUUUGUUUAAAGCUAAGUUCCGAUUUUCUUCUUUUAAAUUCAUUUCCCUUCCUAAGAAUUUCCCAUCUUAGAUAUUGUGGCUAUCGUGGAUUGCAAAUGCACCUCACUGGUUAUGAUUUUUUUUUCCUGGGAUAAUAUUUGAUUUUGUUAUGAAAAGCUAAGUAGUUGCAAUAAAUUUUCUAUUUCAAGAUUUUAUCUUUUUUAUUUUUUACAAAGCUCUUGCCAAACUUUCCCCAUCUUCACAAGAACCCGUAUAUAUUGGGAGAAACUAAUUAUGUUAUGGUUCAAAUCUUAACUCCACUUGUUAUGAGCCUUUUUUUAACUUUUACUUCAUAAGCUUUCUUCAUCGUUAUUUUAUAAAUUAGGAAGAAUUGACCUUGUCUUUAAUUACUGUAACUUAUUGUAGUUUCAUACUUUUCAUUCAGGAAGUUCUUGCAUUAUUGUCUGCUUGUUCAAUCAAUGCUUGACAUUGCUACUCUCUUGAUUGUUAUAUAUUAUCCAGUUACUUUUAGAUUUUUUUUUUUGACAUUUCUGUGUAAAUGACAAUGUCACUUUUAUUUAUUAUUGAUUUUUCUCCAACUUUAUAAUUCAUGUCUAAAUUUAUCCUAUUUAAUUGAUUAAGGCAUAUGUAAACAAGUUUACUGGAAGAUGUUGGAUGGAAGCAAUGUUGGUUGUGCUAUCCUUAGCUUCUUAGUGUCAUAAGAUUUUUAAUAUCCAAACAUUAUUUGGGCUUAUGAUUUUAAGAAUUGUGCUAUCCUUAUUUUUAUUUCUAUACUUACUACUAUUAUAAGUGUGGCUUGAAUUUCCUUCACCAUCAAAAUUUUGAUUGUUUAUUUUAUUUAUUUAAAAACUAUCCCGACCCUUCAUUUCAUUUUAAUAAUUUUAAAAAUAUAUAUGUAUUCUUGAUAUAUUAAAUAUUUGAAAUAUAUUUCAUUAAAUAUCAUUUGUAGUCGGCUCUUUGUAUCCCCUAAAUUUGUACUAUACUAAUAUUAAAAAGCCACUUCGCCCCUUCAUUUUUCAAUUUUUGGCUUGUUUUCUCUUCUAUGCAUAUUCGUCUACCGUCAUUUAAUUUCUCAGUCAUUCAUUAAGUCAUUAACCUCUUCGCAUCUCCCUGUAUAAACCUCUUUAGCUCCUGAUUUCAACAAUUAAAAUCAAAGAAACCUCUUCAAAAACUUGGAAUGCCUCUUAAUUUCACAACUGCUGGCUAUUCAUAUCAUCUACAUUGCAUUGAGAUGGUUGGGAACGAGCUUGUUCCAUGGGUAAUGAUGCCUCUCUUAAGUUAUCUAUGUCGUCGAUGCUUCGAUCUAGCCUCACAUAGCCAAUAGAAUAAAGGCUUCCUUAGAUUUGGAAGUGGUACUCUUCAAGCCUACGAAUCUCUAUCAACCAUCGGCAAAAACUACGGAACCUUAGGCAACAAACUCCCACAUUUAAUUGGGUGAAACCUUCGACUGCGAUUUUGGCAUUGCCAAGGCCUUCACCAGUUAUGGCAUCCCUCUCACCAUCAUUUCCCCAAUGGUGACAUCUUCUUCCUCUCUCGCCUACCCGAAACCACCACUUGGGUUGCAACAAACGUUUAUCUUAUUACACAAAUAAAUAUAGCCGGACAACCAAAAAUAUUAGUUACUUAUCUCACGAAGGAGGUAGGAUGGCAUUUGCUCCUUUUCAAAGCUUGCACACAUUCUCUCCACAAUUGGCUACUUGUAUAUUCGACUUAGGCAGAAAUGUUUUCCUUUUACUUACAUGUCUACAUAAGCAAUGGUGAAAGUUGUCUGGCUCAACAAUCAUAACUUAUAAAUAUGUAAGAUCGUGCAUAUGUUUUGGAAAGCGAAGGAUGCAACCAACUGAAAUUUAAAAUUUUUCCCGUUUUGGGAAGUAGCAAGGUUUCAGUUUAUUUUGAUCCUCGCCAUCUAUUGCGAGAUAUUUUCUUCUUUUUUUUUCAAUCCUUGCACAUGAAGAGAGUAUUUUGACGUUAUGCUUAUUAAUAUAUGAAUAUGCUUGUUUUUACAGUUUUGUGGUUGAAGUAGGCAUUUGGAAUUGUAAUUUUAUUCGAGUGUACAUUUUAUGACAUUCAGAUAUUUUAUGUGCUAAUGGCUUUUAAGAGAUAUAUAUUAGAAGACCCAGUUGCAGCUCUUUCCAAUUGGAGUACACUUGACGGAGAGCCCUGUUGUUGGUUGGUUUGCUCUAAAUUUUAAAUUUUAUUCUCAUGUACUUGGUGAAUACAAUGAUAUUAUAUAAAUACUAUUUUUUAGUUUUUAUUAACGUGCACCAUGUGCAUGUGCAUUUAUACUA